CGAGUCUUAACCGGGCGUUAAGUUGCAGGGUAUAGACCCGAAACCCGGUGAUCUAGCCAUGGGCAGGUUGAAGGUUGGGUAACACUAACUGGAGGACCGAACCGACUAAUGUUGAAAAAUUAGCGGAUGACCUGUGGCUGGGGGUGAAAGGCCAAUCAAACCGGGAGAUAGCUGGUUCUCCCCGAAAGCUAUUUAGGUAGCGCCUCGUGAACUCAUCUCCGGGGGUAGAGCACUGUUUCGGCUAGGGGGCCAUCCCGGCUUACCAACCCGAUGCAAACUGCGAAUACCGGAGAAUGUUAUCACGGGAGACACACGGCGGGUGCUAACGUCCGUCGUGAAGAGGGAAACAACCCAGACCGCCAGCUAAGGUCCCAAAGUCAUGGUUAAGUGGGAAACGAUGUGGGAAGGCCCAGACAGCCAGGAUGUUGGCUUAGAAGCAGCCAUCAUUUAAAGAAAGCGUAAUAGCUCACUGGUCGAGUCGGCCUGCGCGGAAGAUGUAACGGGGCUAAACCAU
rnacentral:rRNA from 2 species